rnacentral:rRNA from 1 species
AGUGAACGCUGGCGGUAGGCCUAACACAUGCAAGUCGAACGGCAGCACAGUAAGAGCUUGCUCUUACGGGUGGCGAGUGGCGGACGGGUGAGGAAUACAUCGGAAUCUACUUUUUCGUGGGGGAUAACGUAGGGGAACUUACGCUAAUACCGCAUACGACCUACGGGUGAAAGCAGGGGAUCUUCGGACCUUGCGCGAUUGAAUGAGCCGAUGUCGGAUUAGCUAGUUGGCGGGGUAAAGGCCCACCAAGGCGACGAUCCGUAGCUGGUCUGAGAGGAUGAUCAGCCACACUGGAACUGAGACACGGUCCAGGCUCCUACGGGAGGCAGCAGUGGGGAAUAUUGGACAAUGGGCGCAAGCCUGAUCCAGCCAUACCGCGUGGGUGAAGAAGGCCUUCGGGUUGUAAAGCCCUUUUGUUGGGAAAGAAAAGCAGCAGGUUAAUACCCCGCUGUUCUGACGGUACCCAAAGAAUAAGCACCGGCUAACUUCGUG